AUUUAAUACCAAAUGGACGUGAUACAGUUAUUGUUAUGGAAAAGACCAAACUUGAAUAUAUUAGGCUCAUGUGUCAAAUGAAAAUGACUGGAGCAAUUUGUAAGCAAUUCAAUGGUUCUGGUGUAUUCAAUGGUUCUGGUGCAUUGCAAGGUUUUAAUCAAGCGGAUUGUUCGAAGUUCUUACAAUUUAUCACUGGUACAUCUAAAGUGCCGUUACAAAGUUUUGCUGCGUUAGAAGGCAUGAACGGCAUACAAAAGUUCCAAAUUCACAGAGAAGACAAGUUGACAGAUAGGCUUUCAUUUGCACAUAUUUGUUUCAAUCAACUGGAUUUGCCAGUGUACGAGACGUAUGAUAAACUCUAAACAAAUCUACUCAAGGCGACUUACGAAUGCACCAAAGAAUUUGGAUUUGCAUAAGCUUACCAGAAUUUGCUCCAGUACAAUUUCGAUUUCAAUCGAUACAAUUUCGCGUUCAAUCGAUGAUAUUCUAGAGACCAAACUUAUGGUUGGAUCUUUACAGCCAGUGAUAACAUUCCGGACGUGCAAUAGCCUAUUGCUUGCAAAAUUUUUAACGUACUUACAAAAAUUGUUAUACGCAAUGUUAUAUAUAAAACUGUUGCCUGGGGUACUGAUUUUAGGGACCACGUUUCUUUCUUGAUUAUUUUUAUGUUCAUGACUGAAUCAUAGACAUAGGCUGAUGGCAGAGAACGAGACGUAAGAGAAGUGACGUGACGUAACGUGACGUUGGGUAAGGCAGAGAAAAGCCGUAAGGAUCAUUUCUGCUCCAUCUGAGGUGUUAAAAUCUUCAUCACCAUUAUCAAUACUGUCGUCUUCAUCAUCUGUAUCUUCAUCUCCAUCCCUAUCUUCAACCCCAUCUUUAUCGUCAAGUAUUAAUGAAAAUUCGUCAUUAAUGCAAUCAUGCGUAAAAUCUACGCCAGAAAAUCAAGAAAUUUCGUCACCAGUACAACCAUGCAUAAAAUCUACGCCAGAAAAUAAAGCAAUUUUGUCAUCAAUGCAACCAUGCAUAAAAUUUAUGCCAGGAAAUAAAAAAACAAAGCAAAAUGUACACUUAUUCAAGAAGCGGACGAAGUUGACAAAUCGUUUAUGAAUUUAUCAUCUGUUAUGUCUCAACAUUUCUCAGGUAAACAAAAAAUGGAUGAAGAUGAUAUUUUUGAUAGCACAAUUGCAUUUUAAUUACGUAAAAUAGAAGAACCACGGAAGACACAAUUAAAAGGAAAGAUUAUGAAGAUUUUAUAUGAGUUUUAAAGAUAAUUUUUUAUUACAUCUUAUAACAAUUAUGUUAAAAUCACAUUAGGUUUGCUCUCUGUAACUGAAGAGGCUGCACUAGUUGAGUUUAUCUUUUUCUUUCCAAUGUGGAGUAAAAAAGAUAAACUCUGAACUAGUGUAGCCAGUUCAGCUACAAAGAACAAACCUAUUGAUUCAUGUCGAGACGGUUCUUGUUGUACAACUGCAGUACGGUUUGCAUAAUUGCAUACAAAUAUACAGCAAUCUUAGAGCAAUUGAAUAUUUUAAGUGCAAGUGAACAUUUUAAGUCAAAAUGUUAAGUUUCAUUGCAUGGACAAAAGCAUAUAAGACUGAUAAUUUUUUGUUUUUUUUUUAGUUACUACAUAAUUUUGUCUGUGGAUAAUAUUUAAUUUGUUGUUUUUAUGCUUUAUAAGUUGUUGUGCACUAAAAGACUUAUAUUAAACGUUUUGUUUAUUUGAAGUUUUUUUUAGUUUAUUUUCUUUUUUAUUUUAUUUUCUAUUACAAAUAAAAUAAGCAUAAAAUUUUUGUUUGCUUGAAAAUAAACUUUUAUUUAUAACUUUAAGACGUAUUAACGUGUUCUAUGAUAAUAAAUAUUAUUUUGCUCAAAUGUAUUAAAAUUUUUACAUUUCAUUACAAUCAAAACCAAAGUAAAAGUGAUAUUAAGUUAUAUGCAUUGUUGCCACUUGUUUUGCAUUAAUUAUAUAUGUAAUUCAGCACAUAGAUAUGUAUAUUUUUGUACUUUUGAUACAGAAAUAAAAAAGUAAAAAUAG